rnacentral:rRNA from 1 species
UACGGGGGGGGCAAGCGUUGUUCGGAAUUACUGGGCGUAAAGGGUUUGUAGGUGGCUUGCUAAGUCACACGUGAAAUCCCUCAGCUUAACUGGGGAACUGCGUGUGAAACUGGCGAGCUUGAGGACAGGAGAGGAACGCGGAAUUCCAGGUGUAGCGGUGAAAUGCGUAGAUAUCUGGAGGAACACCGGUGGCGAAGGCGGCAUCCUGGACCAACACUGACGCUGAGGAGCGAAAGCCAGGGGAGCAAACGGG